GGAGCAUCCAGGGAAAAGCUAUGGUUUUCAGUUUGGUGUAGUGGUUAAGUUUGUCGACUCUUAUCUGGGAGAACCAGACUUGAUUCCCCACUCCUCCACUUGCAGCUGCUGGAAUGGUCUUGGGUCAGCCAUAGCUCUUGUAAGAGUUGUCCUUGAAAGGGCAGCUGCUGGGAGAUCCCUCGCAGCCCCACCCACCUCACAGGGUAUCUGUUGUUGGGGGAGAAGAUAUAGGAGAUUCAAUUUUGAGGAACAAUAUUGCUUUAAGUGUUUUGAGAGUUCAUUGAUUGCACCUGGAGAACGCGGUCUUAUGGCGGCCCUCCCCUGCUGGUUGAAGCAUCUGCCUGGAAUGAAAUUUGUGAAGAGCAGUUGAGAGAAAGUGAUGCACCAUUUUGCUCUUGAUAAAGUGUGAACUGCCUCAGGGCGGUUCUUCGAAACGCACAGCAAGUACAGUCGACAGACACGUUGAGAGAGAUUGAGAUUGGAUUUCUCCGGCGAGUGAAGAGGAGGGAGGUGAAGAGUCGCUGCUGUUGCCCCACCUCCCCCUUUGAACGGACAGCCACUCCACCGGUGCUCUUUUGAGCCUUUUCCCUCCUUGUGAGGGCUUGGUUGGACUUUAUGGGCACAUUAUUUUAUCCUCUGUCAGAACGGGACUAAUUGAACUGAGAUAUUCUUGCUGGAACUGGGCUCCAUUCAUCCUUCUGCACUUUUGAUUGUGUUUUGGGAGAUAUGUCUGAACACAAUUUACUGUGAUAUAAGCGAUUUUUAGGCCACACA